UUUCUUUAACCAUUUAAAUUGUUGACCCA
rnacentral:sRNA from 1 species